CUACACAGCCAAGAAUGUUUCCAUUUCCCCCGAGACACCCCUCAAGGAAGCUCUCUCUCCCACAGUAACAGCACAUGCAACCAAUCCAGAAGCCUACAGCCAUUCUCCAGUGUGCCCACUACUCAGAAGCAGAUGGAAACAGAAAUAAGGAGAUCCUGAGCCAAUAAAGAAUUGAAGAAAGAUACAUAUUUUAUCCCUUCUUGUGUAGAGAAAAGCAAUACAAUUUAUGCAAAAAGUCUACAAUAAGCAUCAGUAUUUGAGCACUUACUCUACAUGGUAAGCUCUUCUCAGUGUUGAGAGAAAGGGGCAUAGUACAUUAUGUCUUCCCAGAAUCUCAAAGGGAAAACAACUUCCAUGUUUUCAGGUACCACAGAAGGCUUAUUCCAGUUCAAUGAGCAGUAUAAACCAGGAGAAUAGAGUACUUUAGUUAGUGGUACCAACCAAGAAAGACAGGGAAGAGGACACAAGUUGGACAAGAGGAAAGAUGUCACCACGAUCUUUGGUAGGCCUUAAAAUAACUCACAUUUUUACAAGUUUAAAAAAAACUACUUUGAGAACAAAGAAGACGGUGUGGCAGAAAGCAGAAGCAUGGAGGAGCUGCAGGUAUUUCAGCAUCAGCCACACACUGGGGGUCUGCCAACCUCAAAGGAUGCUCUUUUCACUCUCAGAUCAAAAACCAAACGAGUAACUCGGGAAGAUUAUGUUAGCUGGUGUUUGGACAGUUUACCUCUUGUUGGACAGUAGUGAGAUGGGAAUCCAAAGAAUUAUCAAAACUUAUCAACUGACUAUAGAGAGAAAACAGGUAACAAAGAUGACUUAAACUUCGAAGGCUUUUUUUUUCCUGGCAACUUCCUAUUUUGUGGAGGAAGGAAAUGGUAGACUGUCAAAUGUGGCUUUAGUAGUGGUCACAGAAUUCAGAGCAGAGAAAGAGCUAAG